CCGCGCGUAGCUCAACUGGAUAGAGCAUCGGACUUCUAUUCCGGGUGUUGCGGGUUCGAAUCCUGCGGCGCGGGCCA
rnacentral:tRNA from 2 species